UAGGGAAUCUUCGGCAAUGGGGGCAACCCUGACCGAGCAACGCCGCGUGAGUGAAGAAGGUUUUCGGAUCGUAAAGCUCUGUUGUAAGAGAAGAACGAGUGUGAGAGUGGAAAGUUCACACUGUGACGGUAUCUUACCAGAAAGGGACGGCCAACUACGUGCCAGCAGCCGCGGUAAUACGUAGGUCCCGAGCGUUGUCCGGAUUUAUUGGGCGUAAAGCGAGCGCAGGCGGUUAGAUAAGUCUGAAGUUAAAGGCUGUGGCUUAACCAUAGUACGCUUUGGAAACUGUUUAACUUGAGUGCAAGAGGGGAGAGUGGAAUUCCAUGUGUAGCGGUGAAAUGCGUAGAUAUAUGGAGGAACACCGGUGGCGAAAGCGGCUCUCUGGCUUGUAACUGACGCUGAGGCUCGAAAGCGUGGGGAGCAAACAGGAUUAGAUACCCUGGUAGUCCACGCCGUAAACGAUGAGUGCUAGGUGUUAGACCCUUUCCGGGGUUUAGUGCCGUAGCUAACGCAUUAAGCACUCCGCCUGGGGAGUACGACCGCAAGGUUG
rnacentral:rRNA from 1 species